GAUGAACGCUGGCGGCGUGCCUAAUACAUGCAAGUCGAGCGAACGGACGAGAAGCUUGCUUCUCUGAUGUUAGCGGCGGACGGGUAAGUAACACGUGGAUAACCUACCUAUAAGACUGGGAUAACUUCGGGAAACCGGAGCUAAUACCGGAUAAUAUUUUGAACCGCAUGGUUCAAAAGUGAAAGACGGUCUUGCUGUCACUUAUAGAUGGAUCCGCGCUGCAUUAGCUAGUUGGUAAGGUAACGGCUUACCAAGGCAACGAUGCAUAGCCGACCUGAGAGGGUGAUCGGCCACACUGGAACUGAGACACGGUCCAGACUCCUACGGGAGGCAGCAGUAGGGAAUCUUCCGCAAUGGGCGAAAGCCUGACGGAGCAACGCCGCGUGAGUGAUGAAGGUCUUCGGAUCGUAAAACUCUGUUAUUAGGGAAGAACAUAUGUGUAAGUAACUGUGCACAUCUUGACGGUACCUAAUCAGUAAGCCACGGCUAACUACGUG
rnacentral:rRNA from 1 species